CAUCUCCUGGCUAACUGUACGGCACAUCAAAACAACAUCAUGUUUCUUCUUGCAGAUAUUCUCCUGCUACUCUUGUCUUAGCUAUCUCCGAAGUGGAUGAUAACCAAAUUGGCAAAUUUAGUUUUUAUACAAAGGAAGCCAUUCUUAAGCUCUUGUGCCAUUCAGGAGUGGAAAAUAUGCAAGUGACCCUAGCAUGCCAGGCUACUCAGAAGAAUGCUUUAAUGGUGGCUGUCCAGCAGGCAUCCUUCUAUCACACACCCCGUGGGAGCUGUCCCCCUAUCAAGGAAAUAAGUUCUGGUCUGAGAAAUCAUAGUGGAGUGGGUCCAACCAGAAGAAGAAAUUCCAGAAUUGUGAAUGGCAUAGAAGGCAUGCUGUUAGCCCCAAUUCCAAAAGUCUCAGAUGCCCUAACUCAUCCUUCAAAAAGAUUCCAGGCUACCAAAAGGGCUCCGGAAGCUUUCGUGUCUAUUCAACUAGAAAAGGUGGGGCUGCGGGACAUGAUGCUGAACGCCUUCCUCCUCAGGAAACAAGCCAUGGCUGACAGAAUGAAAAACCUUGUGAGUAGAGUAAGAAGGGCUCCCUAAAGAUCUCAUCAGCUUUUACAUUUGAGCAAGUAAGAAAUCCUUAA
rnacentral:lncRNA from 1 species